rnacentral:lncRNA from 1 species
UUUUUAUACAUUCGGCACAUUGUGAUUGUGAUGAUCAAAUUUGAAAAACGAAAAUCCGACCAUCAGAUCUGACCAUCAUGAUAAAAUACAUGUAUGAGAAAAAAUUCAACUUGAUCCGACAAGGUUAAGGGCUCGAUCCGGACGGUCAAUCCCGUAAGUCAAACCCUAAACGCAAGGAAAAGGCCAUUGGACCGUCUAAAUUACGAAUUUUCGCCGGACCUUCAACUGAAAAUAGUUUCAAAUCGAUGAGACGCAACAAUUUGUAUAAAAAUUUUACGGAAAAUAACCACCAAAGAUAGGGCUACCCAUAGGGAGAAAGAAAGGAAAAUUGCAUUGACCGCAACUACGAGCAUCGAGACUUUACCGGAAUACCGUGAUUUUUCAACCGAAAACGUAUUUCACCAUUCUGGUCAUAUCUUAUUUCACGACUUUUUUGCAUUUGAAGGUUCUACGUAUAGUUUGUUUUUGAAACGGAACAUUUACUUGGUAAACAAGUUAUACAACAUUAGUAGGCACCUUGUGAUUGUGAUGAUCAAACUUGAGAAAUGAAAAUCCGAUCGUUAGAUCUGACCAUCAUGAUAAAAUACAUGUAUGAGAAAAAAUUCAACUUGAUCCGACAAGGUUAAGGGCUCGAUCCGGACGGUCAAUCCAGUAAGUCAAACCCCUAAACGCAAGGAAAAGGUCAUUGGACCGUCUAAAUUACGUAUUUUGGUCGGACCUUCAACUGAAAAUAGUUUCAAAUCAAUGAGACACAACAAGUAGUAUAAAAAUUUUACAGAAAAUAACCACCGAAGGUAGGGCUACCCAUAGGGAGAAAGAAUGAAAAAUUGCAUUGACCGCAACUAUCGGCACCGAGACUUUACCGGAAUACCGUGAUUUUUCAACUGUAGAUGUAUUUCACCAUUCUGGUCAUAUCUUAUUUAACGACCUUUUUACGUUUGAAGGUUCUACGUAUAGUUUGUUUUUGAAACGGAACAUUUACUUAACACUAGGUAAACAAGUUAUACAACAUUAGUAGGUGUGUUGUGAUUGUGAUGAUCAAACUUGAGAAACGAAAAUCCGACCGUCAGAUCUGACCAUCAUGAUAAAAUACAUGUAUGGGAAAAAAUUCAACUUGAUCCGACAAG